rnacentral:rRNA from 1 species
GAUGAACGCUGGCGGCAUGCCUAACACAUGCAAGUCGAACGAGAUCUUCGGGUCUAGUGGCGCACGGGUGCGUAACGCGUGGGAAUCUGCCCUUUGGUUCGGAAUAACAGUUGGAAACGACUGCUAAUACCGGAUGAUGACGAAAGUCCAAAGAUUUAUCGCCAGAGGAUGAGCCCGCGUAGGAUUAGCUAGUUGGUGUGGUAAAGGCGCACCAAGGCGACGAUCCUUAGCUGGUCUGAGAGGACGAUCAGCCACACUGGGACUGAGACACGGCCCAGACUCCUACGGGAGGCAGCAGUGGGGAAUAUUGGACAAUGGGCGAAAGCCUGAUCCAGCAAUGCCGCGUGAGUGAUGAAGGCCUUAGGGUUGUAAAGCUCUUUUAUCCGGGAUGAUGAUGACAGUACCGGGAGAAUAAGCUCCGGCUAACUCCGUGCCAGCCGCCGCAGUAA